GACGUAGGGGGCCAGCGUUGUUCGGAAUUACUGGGUGUAAAGGGUUCGUAGGCGGUGUGGCAAGUCGGGAGUGAAAUUUCUGGGCUCAACUCAGAGACUGCUUCCGAAACUGCUGUGCUGGAGUGUGGGAGAGGCGCGUGGAAUUGCAGGUGUAGCGGUGAAAUGCGUAGAUAUCUGCAGGAACACCCGUGGCGAAAGCGGCGCGCUGGGCCACUACUGACGCUGAGGGACGAAAGCUAGGGGAGCAAACAGG
rnacentral:rRNA from 1 species